rnacentral:rRNA from 1 species
UGCCAGCAGCCGCGGUAAUACGGAGGGUGCGAACGUUGCUCGGAAUUAUUGGGCGUAAAGGGCGCGCAGGCGGUCUUGUCCGUCAGGUGUGAAAGCUCGGGGCUCAACCCCGGAAGUGCACUUGAAACAGCAAGACUUGAAUACGGUAGAGGAGAGAGGAAUUCCUGGUGUAGAGGUGAAAUUCGUAGAUAUCAGGAGGAACACCGAUGGCGAAGGCAUCUCUCUGGGCCGAUAUUGACGCUGAGGCGCGAAGGCGUGGGUAGCGAACGGGAUUAGAUA